rnacentral:rRNA from 1 species
UACGUAGGGGGCAAGCGUUGUCCGGAAUCAUUGGGCGUAAAGCGCGUGUAGGCGGCUCGAUAAGUCUGCUGUGAAAGUUCAGGGCUCAACCCUGAAAUGCCGGUGGAAACUGUCGAGCUAGAGUCCGGAAGAGGCGAGUGGAAUUCCUGGUGUAGCGGUGAAAUGCGUAGAUAUCAGGAGGAACACCUGUGGCGAAAGCGGCUCACUGGACCACAACUGACGCUGAGGCGCGAAAGCUAGGGGAGCAAACAGG